rnacentral:rRNA from 1 species
CCUACGGGAGGCAGCAGUGGGGAAUAUUGUACAAUGGGGGAAACCCUGACCCAGCGACGCCGCGUGAGUGAAGAAGUAUUUCGGAACGUAAAGCUCUAUCAGCAGGAAAGAAAAUGACGGUACCUGACUCAGAAGCCGCGGCUAACUACGUACCAGCAGCCGCGGUAAUACGUAGGGGGCAAGCGAUAGCCGGAUUUACUGGGUGUAAAGGGAGCGUAGGCGGCAGCGCAAGUCUGGAGUGAAAUGCCGGGGCCCAACUCCGGAACUGCUCUGGAUCCUGUGAAGCUAGAGUGCAGGAGAGGUAAGCGGAAUUGCUGGUGUAGCGGUGAAAUGCAUAGAUAUCAGGAGGAACACCGGCGGCGAAGGCAGCUUACUGGACUGUAACUGACGUUGAGGCUCGAAGGCGUGGGGAGCAAACAGGAUUAGAUACCCCAGUAGUC